rnacentral:lncRNA from 1 species
UAUUUUAAAGGAACAAUAAUGAGUGAAGCAAGUAAAAUGAGGGACAAAGACAAAAGAAGGAAAGGCUAACAUUUAGCAAGUGUUUGUACGUGGAUGUAUAUAUGUAUGUCCCCUUCAAUGUCUCAAGUAUUGGCAUUGUCACCGGCCGACCAAACCCUUCAGCAGUUCAGACUUAUUUCACAGGAAGCUCCUGAUCAGUUAUAGACACAGACAGCACCCUAUGCCUAUGAUAGUAAUUAGUUGGUAGGUUGGGGACUUGGGAGUAGUGUUUUGUUUAUAUUCAUAUAAAAUGGAGAAAAUGCGAGCCCUGGCGUGCCUGGAAACGUCAUCUUUUGAUCUCCUCUAACCUCAAUGAUGAAUCCACAUCUCUUCUUCUUCUUCAUGUCGCUUUUAUCCUUCUCUUCUCAAAGUUUAAAUAACUAGGUCC